ensembl:lncRNA
GUCGAGGUGGAGAGUGUUGGUCUCCGUCUGGCUUGAUGUUGACGCUUCAACAGCGUUCUUUUUGAUGAGGAUGACACACACAACAGUUUGUCUCCAGCACAGUCAAGGUUCCCAUCAGUCACAGAGAAUGAGCUUAACAGGGACAGCACUGUGCGGAAGGUGCUCUGCUGCAUCAGGAUGCAAGAUGGGGUGAAUUCCUCAAGAACUAAAAUCUGCAGUCGUUGCAGAGAAUGGCCUUCAGUAAAAGUCAUGAAGCUGUUCAGCUGUGUUAGCAUGCUGGGUUCAGGGAGUUCUGGACAGAGAGGAGCAGAUGUGGAUCAGCAUCACUGCACCUGAUUCUGGGAUGAACGUCUUCAGUUAUGCCCACCAGCUGUAAACCUGUUGUGUCACCAGAGCUGCUCCCGGCUGACUGGAUGUUUCUGUAAAGGAUCAACCUGCAGACUCUCCAGCACAAGUGUUGGUGGUCAGAGUUCCUGAAGCUGGUACGUAUUCCAAGCUGUUCGUGGCUAUGAUGGAGAUGUAUGACACUGUAGUUACAAAAACGGAUAUUGGAUCCUCUUUUCUAAUUAUCACCAUUUGAACAUUUGGGUCACAUUACUUGUAUAUGUGUAAGUUUGUACUCUGCUUUAAAGUCCUGGGGUGUUGUAGAUGUGUCCCCUUUAACUUUGACUGUAGCCAUUUAACUCUUGAGUUUCUCCCCCUAAAAAAGUACAUGUGAUAGCAAUCACGUAUAGAUUUUUUUUUUUUUUUUUUUCCCCUUAAAUGCCCGUGAAGCCACAGUCUUUAUUAAAACGUGGAAGGGGAAUGUUCGCUGUGAUGAUGUUUUUCCUGCCAUUCGUAGUUUCCACCAGAGGUUUAAACACCAAAGAUGGUUCAAAUCUUCCUUGGAUGUCUGAGCGAACAUUAGAUUGCAGCUUUGCUUGUGAACUCUUCUCUUCCAGAUCUAACUUUAUCUCAAUUUAUCUCACUUUCAGGCUGGACGUCAACAUUGAUGGACCUGCAAUCAAACAUGAGUCAGCUGUGUAGGGUUUUUUUUUUUUUUUUGUUUUUUUGUAGGUUGAAGUUUGAAAGAUGGCUGUCAUCUAAUCUUAAAAAUAAAAUGAAUCUUAAACAGAAAACAAGCUAGCAGUUUUGUGACUAUAAAUGAGAUGUUCUUAGUUUUGAAGUAACUGUUUUUUAUUUUCCAUGCAUGCUGGCAAAGUUAGUUAGUUUUUUGUAUUUUUACUUGUACAUAAUUUUUAAAGUAAUAAAGAUCCAAUAGGUGUCGAAAGAUUUUGUUUUUAAUCUGUCUUCUCUUGCUGAAAUUCAUUCAUUCAAAUAAGGGGUUUUAGACUGUACACUGUUGCUUCUCGUUGGGCUGCAUUGCUUGGGCAAAUGCUUAAAUAUUUGAUAGAUUGUAACUGAUGAAAACUAUUCAACAUCUAACUCAGUGACGUGAAGAAGAAUCCCAGAGAACAUAAAUUGCAUCAUGUAAAUUUUAACACUACAGAAUAACAUUUGUGAAAUGUUUUCAGACAUUGAACAACUAUAUUAGUUCACUAUACUGUGAAAACCCAGUGUGUCGAGGACUAUUUUGGGAAUAAAUCAGGCUAUACAUGAAGUGUUGAGUUGGUGUUGGCUGAGAAGUUAGUCAGAUUAAGUAGGUAAAUGGGUGUACCUGAUUUUCUACUUGGUAAAACAGUUACAUAUUUCUAAGCAACUGACUUUUACACUGUUAUGCAGUACCACGUUUU